CCCUUAGAUGUCCUGGGCCGCACGCGCGCUACACUGACGGAGCCAGCGAGCUUACCCCUUUGCCGAAAGGCAUGGGAAAUCUUUUGAAUCUCCGUCGUGCUGGGGAUAGAUCAUUGCAAUUAUUGAUCUUGAACGAGGAAUUCCUAGUAAGCGCAAGUCAUCAGCUUGCGUCGAUUACGUCCCUGCCCUUUGUACACACCGCCCGUCGCUCCUACCGAUUGGGUGUGCUGGUGAAAUGUUCGGAUCGGCCGUUUGUCGCGGUUUCCGCGUCAUGUGGCUGAGAAGUUCAUUAAACCCUCCCACCUAGAGGAAGGAGAAGUCGUAACA
rnacentral:rRNA from 1 species